UUAUUUUAUGAUACUGAUUCUAGUUUGACUAUUAUGCCUAAUGAAAAAAGUGUCAGGAAUUCUUAUAUCUAUAAAGUCUUUGAGCCAGGUAAAAAAAUGAUUUUUCUUUUUGAUUAUGGUGAUAAUUGGGAAUUUUUAGUAGAAUGUUGUGAUAUCAUAGAAGCAGAAACAGGAAAAAGAUAUCCAAAAGUUACAAAAAAAGAAGGAAAAGCCCCUGAACAAUACCCUGACUAUGACGAUGAGUAGUAGAUUUUGAUUUAUUGUAGUUCAAGUAAGAAUAUUCUUAUUCAUUUUUUUGUGAUGGCAUAGUCAAAGGGUUACAAAAGUCAGCCAUCCUUGGACAGAUGAGCAAGUUGAGCAUAUGAAUAGAAAGCUAAAAGAUGCUACAAUUAAAAAGUAUUACUACAAAGCAACUCAAAGAUCAUCUAGCUGC